rnacentral:rRNA from 1 species
GACGAACGCUGGCGGCGUGCCUAAUACAUGCAAGUAGAACGCUGAAGGAGGAGCUUGCUUCUCCGGAUGAGUUGCGAACGGGUGAGUAACGCGUAGGUAACCUGCCUGGUAGCGGGGGAUAACUAUUGGAAACGAUAGCUAAUACCGCAUAACAGUAGAUAUUGCAUGAUAUCUGCUUGAAAGGUGCAAAUGCAUCACUACCAGAUGGACCUGCGUUGUAUUAGCUAGUUGGUGAGGUAACGGCUCACCAAGGCGACGAUACAUAGCCGACCUGAGAGGGUGAUCGGCCACACUGGGACUGAGACACGGCCCAGACUCCUACGGGAGGCAGCAGUAGGGAAUCUUCGGCAAUGGACGGAAGUCUGACCGAGCAACGCCGCGUGAGUGAAGAAGGUUUUCGGAUCGUAAAGCUCUGUUGUAAGAGAAGAACGAGUGUGAGAGUGGAAAGUUCACACUGUGACGGUAUCUUACCAGAAAGGGACGGCUAACUACGUGCCAGCAGCCGCGGUAAUACGUAGGUCCCGAGCGUUGUCCGGAUUUAUUGGGCGUAAAGCGAGCGCAGGCGGUUAGAUAAGUCUGAAGUUAAAGGCUGUGGCUUAACCAUAGUACGCUUUGGAAACUGUUUAACUUGAGUGCAAGAGGGGAGAGUGGAAUUCCAUGUGUAGCGGUGAAAUGCGUAGAUAUAUGGAGGAACACCGGUGGCGAAAGCGGCUCUCUGGCUUGUAACUGACGCUGAGGCUCGAAAGCGUGGGGAGCAAACAGG